rnacentral:rRNA from 1 species
AGAGUUUGAUCCAUGCUCAGGACGAACGCUGGCGGCGUGCUUAACACAUGCAAGUCGAACGAGGCCACUCCUUCGGGAGUGAGUCGAGUGGCGGACGGGUGCGUAACACGUGAGCAACCUAUCCCUGUGCGGGGGACAACCCGGGGAAACCCGGGCUAAUACCGCAUGGGCAGGACCCCCGAGUGAGGGUUCUGGGAAAGAUGGCCUCUUGACAAUGCUAUCGCGCAGGGAGGGGCUCGCGGGCUAUCAGCUAGUUGGUGAGGUAACGGCUCACCAAGGCAGCGACGGCUAGGGGGUCUGAGAGGAUGGCCCCCCACAUUGGAACUGAGACACGGUCCAGACUCCUACGGGAGGCAGCAGUGGGGAAUAUUGGGCAAUGGGCGAAAGCCUGACCCAGCGACGCCGCGUGUGGGAGGACGCCUUUCGGGGUGUAAACCACUGUCAGAGGGGACGAAAUGCCGGGGUGGUAAUACUGCUCCGGUUGACGG